AACGAACGCUGGCGGCGCGCUUAACACAUGCAAGUCGAACGAGAAGGCGUAGCAAUACGCUUGUACAGUGGCGAACGGGUGAGUAAUACGUGGGCGACCUACCCUCGAGUGGGGAAUAACCCGCCGAAAGGCGGGCUAAUGCCGCGUACGCUUCCAUCUUUAUGGAGGUGGAAGGAAAGCCGUGCCGUGGGCACGGCGCUCAAGGAUGGGCUCACGUCCUAUCAGCUUGUUGGAGGGUAACGGCCUACCAAGGCUCCGACGGGUAGCUGGUCUGAGAGGACGAUCAGCCACACUGGCACUGCGACACGGGCCAGACUCCUACGGGAGGCAGCAGUGAGGAAUAUUGCGCAAUGGGC
rnacentral:rRNA from 1 species